CACUCUUGACCAAUCUCAUAAUGUACUUCAACUUUCCCAUUCUCACAAUCUUUUUAUGUUCCUGGCAACUUUCAAGUUCUUUUUCCAGACUCUCAGGAAACACGGAGUAUGGAGGAUGAACCCAAAUCACCGCAGUACACACUGACAUGGGUGGUUGCUGCUGUCUGCUUUGUUAUUGCUCUCGCCACCAUUUAUGCUGAGCGUGUUCUUCAUAAUUAAACUGAUUGAACAUCCUCAGCUAUCUAUAUUUAAGCUAUCUUUUAAAAACUUCAUAUUUGGACUGGACCAAAACCGAAACUGAAGUGAAGAAAAAUUUAAAGUUAUGCACCGCCACUGAUUGCAGAAAUGAAUGUGCGAAAUGAUGCAGUUUGAUUUUUCAAGUUCUAUGCAGUUACCCCCACCUUGCCUUUGUAUGCUGUAGUAUCCCAGGUUGGUGAACGUACACACCAAGUUUCACGUUGAGCUCUUUAAUGAUUGAAAUGUUUCAGAAACUCAUCUUCUUCCCUUUUGCUGAUGGUAUCUGAGUGAGUGGAGAUGGGCACCAGGUUCAAGAAGGCAUGUUUGUUGAGGAAGUGCAGUUAGCAUUUGGUUGGGAAGUUCAGGAUGGACUGCGAGGGACCCAAACGACCAUCACGGAGCAUAUAGCCACAGAAUCGGCUCACAGUGCCGGGCAAGCUUUCUUCUGCAACCCAAGCGCCUGCAUCUUGAAAUUUGGUUGUUCGGCAAUAAGAAAAAAAAGGACGCCCACUUACAUCUCCUAAAGCCUUAAUAUGAGCAGAUUCAUCAUUCAACCAAACCAAUGUUCAUAACUUCACCUUUUCUGUGAAUAUUAUUUUCAUUUUGUUUCAGGUAAUUUGCCAUUCAUUGCUGCUCUUUUCAUAGCACCUAAAAUCCCCCACAACCUACCGAACCGAAUGCAUUUAUGGUAAAUAAAAGAAAACCAAUGCCUCAAUCAGAUGCAGGUGAUUUUGCA